rnacentral:tRNA from 1 species
GUCCCCGUAGCUCAGUUGGAUAGAGCAACGGAUUUCUAAUCCGUUGGCCGGGUGUUCGAAUCACCCCGGGGACA